AGGGAUGUGGCACUAGGUAGUAGAGCACUUGCCUAGCCUGCAUGAGACCCUGGGUUCAAUCCCCAGCACUUCAA
rnacentral:tRNA from 1 species